GCUCCCACUACUUAGUUUAUGGAAAACAACGAAAUCUGACAACAGCUGAGUCCUCCCUGUGAGGAGGAGUCAAUGCAAAACUCAGAUGUCUUCCACCUCUACUUAUCUGACUGCAGAGAGGAGGACAGAGGACAGUGGACACACAGUUUAACAUGAUGGACUAUAGGACAGGACUGCUGCUUUUAACCAUCUGCUGCUGGACAGGUGUUGAUGGUCAGACUCUGACAGAAUCUGAACCAGUUAUUAAAAGACCUGGAGAAUCCCACAGACUGACCUGUACAGCCUCUGGAUUCACAUUCAGCAGCUCUUAUAUGGCCUGGGUUAGACAGGCUCCUGGAAAAGGACUGGAGUGGAUCGCUUAUAUCUAUACUGACAGUAGCAACAUGUUCUACUCCCAGUCAGUUCAGGGCCGGUUCACCAUCUCCAGAGACAACAACAGACAGCAGCUGUAUCUGCAGAUGAACAGUCUGAGGACUGAAGACUCUGCUGUUUAUUAUUGUGCUCGAGAGCCACAGUGACUGGAGUUGGUUGAGCAGCUGUACAAAAUCCUACAGGACUCAUUCUGACUGGACUGAUUGACAACAACCAUGAAGAGUUUUUUCACAACAAUUAGCCUAUAAUUUAUUUUUAUAUUGAAUUUUUUCACAACUUGUUUUAUA